GAAACUCCAUCAGAGCCUGAACCUCCAGAAUUUGUGAUGGAGUAACAACACAGAAGGAUGUAGUCAACAUCUUUCACACAAGAAGUCCAAGACCUACUAUGGUGAUGAUAAUCUCUACUACUGGUACCUCAGAGUGCCAGAGUCAAUGGCAGAAGCUUCAUUCAUGAGGACUACUGGGAAGAAGAUGUGAGCAACCAGACAUAAGGACUCUUCUGCUUCUGCCUUCCUCUGCAGCCACAUUUCAUUGGGUGAUUCCUGGCUCCUGUCCCACCAUGUGGCUCCCAUCCCAGCCUGUCCCCUCUUCUGCCCAGCAAAAGGUCUCCUGCUGAAAAGAGACAGACAAGAAGAGCUUGUUUUCAUCUGCACCACAGUACUCCUUUUUCGGCUAUGAGAUGCUCAAAACACCUGCUAACACUGCAGCAAGACUGCCACAGUGUCACUCUGCUAAGUGCUCAUUCUGGGUUCGUCCACACAAUCAGUGCACAGUCCGUGCUCAGCAAAGGCAGUUCCUAAAGCAAGCAGUCCCUUGGCAGCUCUCAGUGGAAUGGCCCACCAGAUACUUUGCAUUUGUGUUCCAAUCUGCACCAAAGCUUGAGGCUGUGGAUCAGCCAGAACGAAGGAAGGAAGAACAUGAACAAAGAGGACAGAGCAGAGCUCUUGGCAAGCUGUUGUGGAUUAAAAAGAAGAUGGUGAGAUGGUCAUUUUGUCAUCCUGUGCCACCGUUGUCUCUAUUUGGGUCAGCCGUGCUUCCGUCCAUUGUAGGGAUGAAGAUUGGGAUGAUGGAAGAAUCCAGCAACGGCUGCAGCAAUGAGCACGACUGCCUGGAGCCCUGCAAUCGUGUGCUGAGCCUUCACUUUGUUCAACAGCUCUACGUGGUACAUGAUUCUGAUGAACUUUUGCUGUGA
rnacentral:lncRNA from 1 species